CGGGGCUUAAAGUCUUGUAAUUGGAAUGAUGGGAAUUUAAACCUCUUCCAGAGUAUCAAUUGGAGGGCAAGUCUGGUGCCAGCAGCCGCGGUAAUUCCAGCUCCAAUAGCGUAUAUUAAAAUUGUUGCAGUUAAAAAGCUCGUAGUUGAAUUUCUGCUGCAUUGCUUGUGUCCCUCUGGGGUCUGUGCAUGUGGCUUUUUUCGGACGGAGUUUCUUUGUCUGAAUGUUUACUUUGAGAAAAUUAGAGUGCUCAAAGCAGGCUUUCGCCUUGAAUAGUUUAGCAUGGAAUAAUAAAGUAGGACUUUGGUUCUAUUUUGUUGGUUUUAGGUACCAAAGUAAUGGUUAAUAAGAACAGUUGGGGGCAUUCGUAUUUAACUGUCAGAGGUGAAAUUCUUAGAUUUGUUAAAGACGAACUACUGCGAAAGCAUUUGCCAAGGAUGUUUUCAUUAAUCAAGAAC
rnacentral:rRNA from 1 species